rnacentral:rRNA from 1 species
GACGAACGCUGGCGGCGUGCUUAACACAUGCAAGUCGAACGGAAAGGCCCUGCUUUUGUGGGGUGCUCGAGUGGCGAACGGGUGAGUAACACGUGAGUAACCUGCCCUUGACUUUGGGAUAACUUCAGGAAACUGGGGCUAAUACCGGAUAGGAGCUCCUGCUGCAUGGUGGGGGUUGGAAAGUUUCGGCGGUUGGGGAUGGACUCGCGGCUUAUCAGCUUGUUGGUGGGGUAGUGACUUACCAAGGCUUUGACGGGUAGCCGGCCUGAGAGGGUGACCGGCCACAUUGGGACUGAGAUACGGCACAGACUCCUACGGGAGGCAGCAGUGGGGAAUAUUGCACAAUGGGCGGAAGCCUGAUGCAGCAACGCCGCGUGCGGGAUGACGGCCUUCGGGUUGUAAACCGCUUUCGCCUGUGACGAAGCGUGAGUGACGGUAAUGGGUAAAGAAGCACCGGCUAACUACGUG